GCAGCGUCCCUUGGCGGCGGGCGCGCCCACGUGUGGCGCGGAAGAGCCGGCCCGGCUGUGGCAGGAGCCUUCGGACCUGGAUAGUUUAGAGCCACCCACCCUGGCCUGACAGCUGCAGGGCCAGAUGCACCUUGAAGGACUGGAGUCAUGCAGAGUUCACCUGAGCAUCCUGAUUGCACCAGCUGGGGCUCCCAGCCAAUCAAAGCAGUGGCACCUGUUGAGUGAGUAGGCUCCACGUCCAGUGUAGAGCCCAAUGUGGGGCUUGAACUCACACCCCGAGAUGGAGACCCGAGCAGACAUCAACAGACACCUAACCAGUUGAGCCACCCAGGCACCCUAAACAACUUUGUUCUUAAUCGCCUGGCUGCUACAAGGAAUUAAAUUCAAAAGGGUAAAGGAAGAAAGAAAAAUGAAUUAUAGGAGCUACUCUACGCCUUUGGUGGAAAUAAAACACUUUGUAAGAGU